GGGUGCGAUAAUGCCAUCACUAAUUCACCAGAUCCCAUCAAAACUCCGAAGUUAAGCGUGCUUGGGCUAGAGUAGUACUACGAUGGGUGACCCCCUGGGAAGUCCUCGUGUUGCACUCC